rnacentral:rRNA from 1 species
AACGAACGCUGGCGGCAGGCUUAACACAUGCAAGUCGAACGCCCCGCAAGGGGAGUGGCAGACGGGUGAGUAACGCGUGGGAACGUGCCCUUCGCUUCGGAAUAGCCCCGGGAAACUGGGAGUAAUACCGAAUACGCCGUAUUGGGAAAGAUUUAUCGGCGAAGGAUCGGCCCGCGUUAGAUUAGCGAGUUGGCGGGGGAAUGGACCACCAAGGCUACGAUCUAUAGCUGGUCUGAGAGGAUGAUCAGCCACACUGGGACUGGGACACGGCCCAGACUCCUACGGGUGGCAGCAGUGGGGAAUCUUGGACAAUGGGGGCAAGCCCGAUCCAGCCAUGCCGCGUGAGUGAAGAAGGCCUUAGGGUUGUAAAACUCUUUCGCCGGAGAAGAUAAUGACGGUAUCCGGAGAAGAAGCCCCGGCUAACUUCGUGCCAGCCGCCGCUGUAAGAC